rnacentral:rRNA from 1 species
GACGAACGCUGGCGGCGUGCUUAACACAUGCAAGUCGAACGGAAAGGCCCUGCUUUUGUGGGGUGCUCGAGUGGCGAACGGGUGAGUAACACGUGAGUAACCUGCCCUUGACUUUGGGAUAACUUCGGGAAACUGGGGCUAAUACCGGAUAGGAGCUCCUGCUGCAUGGUGGGGGUUGGAAAGUUUCGGCGGUUGGGGAUGGACUCGCGGCUUAUCAGCUUGUUGGUGGGGUAGUGGCUUACCAAGGCUUUGACGGGUAGCCGGCCUGAGAUGGUGACCGACCAAAUUGGUACUGAGAUACAGCGCAGCCUCGUACGGGAGGCAGCAGUGAGGAAUAUUGCAAAAUGGGCGGGAGCCUGAUGCGGCAACGCCGCGUGCGGGAUGAAGGCCUUCGGGUUGUAAAACGCUUUCGCCUGUGACGAAGCGUGAGUGACGGUAAUGGAUAAAGAAGCACCGGCUAACUACGUG